UCUCCCAAUAUUGCCUCCGCCGUCUCUCUCUAUGAACCCUAAAUUUAUCCACCUCAAACUUGUUCAUUUCUCUAACCUCUCCCCUCUCUCAAUCCUAAUUCAAGUCCUAAUUCAAGUCAUAAGCACUAUGAGUAAGUCGAUUCGUUCAAAAGCUCGAUUCACAAACACAAACCAUAGCUAGAUUUGUUCGAUUAAAGGCUUUCGGAGAUACAGAGAACAUGUUGUUCAAGAAGCACUAGUGUUAUUACUCUGAGUUAAGACUCUCUUGCUUUGUCUCGGAAGCUUCUAUGUUGGUUUGCUCUUCACCAAUUGCCACCGGAGACACCCUUUGUGCUGCUAUGAAUUUACUGGAAUCUCUGGGAUUACGACGAAGAAGAAACAUAUAAUCUUUCUUGUAGUAAGGAAUGACGACGAAGAAGCAACAGAUGAUCAGCUGUAGGGAUCAGCAAUCACCUAAUUCAGAUGUGUAGUUUCUUCGGUCUGAGAAGAAUGGAUAUACCUUCUUGCAGUCUUCAAUUUACAUACUUAGCACACCGCCACUCCUAGAGCCUAAUGGAAUCAACUACAUUGCUUACCAAAAGGUACCAGAAGCUGAACCUCGUGGGUGGCAUCCUGACAGUUUUUCAACAUCUUGUAUGCAGUGCAAUUUUCUCUUCACAACCCUUACCCAAGGACGCCAUCAGUGUCGAUUUUAAGGAGGGAUCUUUUGCGGGGAAUGAUCAAAAGGCAGGUGUUUAAUGCCUGUUAAGUUUAGGGAGAGAAAUCUAUAGAGGGUGUGUGACUCUUGUUAGUGUCAUAGUUUUAUAUAUAUUUUUUGC